ensembl:lncRNA
CUUGUUUUUUGACUUUGCAGGAUUUAGAGCAAAGCUACAAAAUGGUUGGGUUAAUGGGAUAUCCUCAAAGGACCAUGGUGGUAGCUAGUGUAGAUGAGCAUCCAUCAGAUGGCAGAAUUCAGCUUCUCAGUAGCUAUUUCUCUACAUUUGACUUUCCUUAUUGGAAGAGCUAACAUGCGCCCCUGAGCUGUUACUGUAAGUAGAGGGGGGAUCUACACAUGGGUGAGCAUUUUGAAAUGAUGAAUCCGUUACAUCACUGAUAGCAGAUUGAAGACUAAAUUUUGCAAAGCUCACUCUGUUUUUUUUAAUGUGAACACUUAUCUGAAACUAGACUUGCACAAAAGCAAAACUGCUAUUUCCAAGUGCAACGAAGUUAAAGCACAAGAUCUCGAGUCUGACUUCUGCACAGCAGUGUUCAAAAGUGGAAUGAGGUCUUGAAGAAGAGGGAUAAACAUUAGAAAAGGCCAUAUGGACAUUAAAGAUCAAGUACCCAAAGACUUCUGAUUCAAAACAACUCUAUAUCUUGUUGAAUUUGUAGAUUCUUAGUAAAUUAGGACACCAUGUCCCAUCGAAGACAAGAUCUUCUGCAUAAAUCUCACUGAAGGUAACGUAUUUAACAGCUCAAAGUUCUAUUGUGUGGUUGUAGUACUUUAAUAUCUAGAACACCUCUGGAAAUCUGGACCUCAAAAGACUACAGGAUUUAUUUGACCUGUCUAGAGUCACAAACAAAUUUAGAUCACCAUAAGAAAAUGGCAUUAUUCCCAUAUUUUCCAGUACCUGAAGAAAUCCAGUUAGGAGUGAGGCAGCAAGAUCACUCUUCAAUGCUGCUGGUCAUAUUCAUUAAGUCAUUAAGUUUGCUCUUACUACCUAAAGAAGAGGAAAGACUGUAGUAUCCGAAGGCAAGUUGAUGAUUUUUCUUAAGGAGAGAAACUUGAUAAUCAACUGGUUACUGAAAAUCUGCCUGUUCUUUUAAAAUAAACUUUUUUUUUUUAAAGUAGUUUCAUGUGAGAGAUAAUGGGACUGAAGUUCUGUCAGAGCUCUGCUUGAAACAAAAAGUUACCCUAGGAUGAGGUUAGGCUGCACACUUAAAAGCAAGCAAAUAAAUCUCAA